GUGGCCCUGGUCCACGGAUACGAAUUUCGACGGACCUGACCAAUCAGAAUUCAGGAUAGAACAACGCAUGUGCUGUUUUUCUCAUUUUCAGAAACAAAAGAACGUCGGCCGCUUAAAACCAAUGUUACUGUUGAAAACAUGGACAACUUGGAACGAAUAGUUUGGGAUGCUUUAAACUGUGAUGAUAUUGAAAAAUUAAGGGAAGUAAUUGAAAAAGGU